UCUGUGCUCAUAGCACGCCAUAUGUACUGUGUGCCAUAUGCAUUCAGUCAAAAUUCUGGAUAUGGAAUAGCUGGCUAGCAAGAAUACUCUUGUCGUUACAUCAUUGAGGACCACAUGAUGUAUCUGAAUUAAGUCAUCCAUGUUCCCUCAGGAUGCUCCCUGCAUUGUUGGAAAAGGACCUAACUGUAGCAGCGGGCAGCAGAAUCCUCAGACGGCACAAACCAAAUAGCUCCUGAAGGGCUCGGUUGGACUACAGCUGUUUGUUUAUUUAACUCCAACUUGUAAUUAUGGCUCUGACAGACUGCACCAUGGAGAAAGCCCAUAUCUGUCUCGAGUUUGAACAGAGGGGAGAGUUUGGAUGCAGAGGUAAGAGUUCAGGGGCAUGAACACUACGCUGCACCUGCCCCUAAGACAUAUGUUCUCCAGGGGAAUUACGCCAGAUGCAUCUUUCAGGAAAUGGAUCCCAGUGAGGUCUGUUAACCUCUCGGCUCCUUAAACGAAGCAGGAAUUAUCCCUGGCUAUUCCCAAGCCUGGCCCUCUGGCACCCCGUUGCUGCCUCGCUCACGUUCAUGGACUAGAUCAGGAAAUACUGUGAGAAUAUCAUCCCUUUCUCAAUGUGAUCAACCGUGUACGUCUUAAUUAAAAUCUACAGUAAAAGUACUUGUUACUGUUAAAACUGAGUGUGGAGCAUUUCUAAAAGAGUUCAGCUGUAUGAACGUCUUUGUGGAUUACUUUAAUUGAAUGCCAUGUGAAUUCAACGUUUAUAACCACUCAUAAAAUGUGAGGGGAAAAGUGACUCGGUAAGAUCACUCAAUAUCCUGUUUUCUUUGAGGCAAUGACAAAAUGGCAGAAAUCUUUCCGUAGUAAU